AACGCGAAGAACCUUACCUGGGCUCGAAAUGUAGUGGACCGGAGAUGAAAGUUUCUUUCCCCGCAAGGGGCCGCUAUAUAGGUGCUGCAUGGCUGUCGUCAGCUCGUGUCGUGAGAUGUUGGGUUAAGUCCCGCAACGAGCGCAACCCUUAUCCCCAGUUGCCAUCAUUUAGUUGGGCACUCUGGUGAAACUGCCUGGGAUAACCAGGAGGAAGGUGGGGAUGACGUCAAGUCCUCAUGGCCUUUAUGUCCAGGGCUACACACGUGCUACAAUGGCCGGUACAAACCGCCGCAAACCCGCGAGGGGGAGCUAAUCGGAAAAAGCCGGCCUCAGUUCGGAUUGGAGUCUGCAACUCGACUCCAUGAAGCUGGAAUCGCUAGUAAUCGCGGAUCAGAACGCCGCGGUGAAUACGUUCCCGGGCCUUGUACACACCGCUCGCGA
rnacentral:rRNA from 1 species